rnacentral:rRNA from 1 species
UGGGGAAUUUUGGACAAUGGGCGAAAGCCUGAUCCAGCAAUGCCGCGUGUGUGAAGAAGGCCUUCGGGUUGUAAAGCACUUUUGUCCGGAAAGAAAUCCUUGGCUCUAAUACAGUCGGGGGAUGACGGUACCGGAAGAAUAAGCACCGGCUAACUACGUGCCAGCAGCCGCGGUAAUACGUAGGGUGCAAGCGUUAAUCGGAAUUACUGGGCGUAAAGCGUGCGCAGGCGGUUUGCUAAGACCGAUGUGAAAUCCCCGGGCUCAACCUGGGAACUGCAUUGGUGACUGGCAGGCUAGAGUAUGGCAGAGGGGGGUAGAAUUCCACGUGUAGCAGUGAAAUGCGUAGAGAUGUGGAGGAAUACCGAUGGCGAAGGCAGCCCCCUGGGCCAAAUACUGACGCUCAUGCACGAAAGCGUGGGGAGCAAACAGGAUUAGAUACCCUGGUAGUCCACGCCCUAAACGAUGUCAACUAGUUGUUGGGGAUUCAUUUCCUUAGUAACGUAGCUAACGCGUGAAGUUGACCGCCUGGGGAGUACGGUCGCAAGAUUAAAACUUAAAUGAAUUGACGGGGUCAUAGCUG